AGAGUUUGAUCAUGGCUCAGAUUGAACGCUGGCGGUAUGCUUAACACAUGCAAGUCGAACGGUAACAGUCCCUCACCUAGAAAUUUCUUAAAAAGAGAUUUGUAGGUGAGGGAGCUGACGAGUGGCGGACGGGUGCGUAAUGUAUAGGAAUCUGCCUGGUAGUGGGGGACAACUCGGAGAAAUUCGAGCUAAUACCGCAUAAGCCCUCCGGGGGAAAACGGGGGAUCUUCGGACCUCGUGCUAUUAGAUGAGCCUAUAUUAGAUUAGCUUGUCGGUGAGGUAAUGGCUUACCAAGGCGACGAUCUAUAGCUGGUCUGAGAGGAUGAUCAGCCACACUGGGACUGAGACACGGCCCAGACUCCUACGGGAGGCAGCAGUGGGGAAUAUUGGACAAUGGGCGAAAGCCUGAUCCAGCAAUACCGCGUGUGUGAAGAAGGCCUGAGAGUUGUAAAGCACUUUCAAUUGGGAGGAAUACCUAAUAGUUAAUAGCUAUUAGAUUGACA
rnacentral:rRNA from 1 species